rnacentral:rRNA from 1 species
GACGAACGCUUGCGGCGUUCUUAACACAUGCAAGUCGAACGGAGUGGCGAACGGGUUAGUAUUACUUGAGUAACCUGCCCUCAACUGUUGGAUAAGCCUGGGAAACUGUGUCUAAUACUGCAUAGUUGGGGGUGGGCUCGCGGCCUAUCCGCUUGUUGGUGGGGUGAUGGCCUACCAAGGCGGUGACGGGUAGCCGGCCUGAGAGGGUGGUCGGCCAAAUUGGGACGGGGAUACGGACCAGAUACAUACGGGAGGGAGCAGGGGGAGAGAUUGAACAAGGGGCGCAAACCGGAUGCAGAGAAGCCGCGUAGGGGAUGAAGGCUGUCGGGUUGUAAAAAUCAUUCCGUACAGAACGGGGAUGUGCAGAAGAAGCGCCGGCUAACUACGUGCCAGCAGCCGCGGUAAUAC